rnacentral:rRNA from 1 species
UACGUAGGGGGCAAGCGUUGUCCGGAAUCAUUGGGCGUAAAGCGUCUGCAGGUGGCAGUUCAAGUCUGCUGUCAAAGACCGGGGCUUAACUUCGGAAAGGCAGUGGAAACUGAACAGCUAGAGUAUGGUAGGGGCAGAGGGAAUUCCUGGUGUAGCGGUGAAAUGCGUAGAGAUCAGGAAGAACAUCGGUGGCGAAGGCGCUCUGCUGGACCAUAACUGACACUCAGGGACGAAAGCUAGGGGAGCGAAUGGG